GAUGAAGAACGUAGCGAAAUGCGAUACUUGGUGUGAAUUGCAGAAUCCCGUGAACCAUCGAGUCUUUGAACGCAAGUUGCGCCCGAAGCCACUAGGCCGAGGGCACGCCUGCCUGGGCGUCACACGCCGUUGCCCCCCCAUCUACUCCUUCGGGAUUGCGGGGGGGCGGAUGAUGGCCUCCCGUGCGCCUAGCCGCGCGGUUGGCAUAAAUACCAAGUCCUCGGCGACGCACGCCACGACACUCGGUGGUUGCGAAACCUCGGUUGCCCGUCGUGUGCGUUCGUCGCGCAUCGAGGGCUCGAAAAAAUGCUCGGCUCCGGCUGGGCUUUCAACGCGACCCCAGGUCAGGCGGGGUUACCCGCUGAAUUUAAGCAUAUCAAUAAGCGGAGGA
rnacentral:misc_RNA from 1 species